rnacentral:rRNA from 1 species
GACGAACGCUGGCGGCGUGCCUAACACAUGCAAGUCGAACGAGAUCCAUGGGAGCUUGCUCCCGGAAGAUCUAGUGGCGAACGGGUGAGUAACACGUGAGAAACCUGCCCUGGAGUGGGGAAUAACUCGGGGAAACUCGAGCUAAUACCGCAUACCCUCGGAUGGUCGCAUGGCCGACCGAGGAAAAGAUUUAUCGCUCUAGGAGGGUCUCGCGGCCUAUCAGCUAGUUGGUGGGGUAACGGCCUACCAAGGCAACGACGGGUAGCUGGUUUGAGAGAACGAUCAGCCACACUGGGACUGAGACACGGCCCAGACUCCUACGGGAGGCAGCAGUGGGGAAUCUUGCGCAAUGGGCGGAAAGCCUGACGCAGCAACGCCGCGUGCGGGAGUGACGGCCUCUG